rnacentral:lncRNA from 1 species
AAGUGAAGUCAAAGUUAUCCAAAGAAUAUCACUUUAUUAAAAUGAAAACAUCAAGACACCAUAUUGUGGGAAAUUAUUUCAGCAAUCAAAGUAAACUACAACAACAGGACUCAAACAAAUUUUCAAUCAUGGUAUCACGUCAGAGGCCCAAUAAAUCAGGUUUGUUUUGAAAUCCUUCUCAGCAGGAUGUGUGCGAGUAAAAGG